UCAGCUCCUCUCGGGUCCCGAAGGUCAAGAAAGGCGUGACAGUUUCCACGCUUUCGUUCCAGCCUUAGCAACCGGGAGGGAUGGAGGGGCGGGGCUUAAACCGGCGGUUGAGGGAAGACCUGGCCGGUUUGAUGCGGGGUGAAAUGGGAGUUGUAGUCCGAUCGGACUGGGCUGGGCGGUUAACUAUUCUUCCGGGCACGUUGGGAAUUGUGGUUUAUUGUCUCUGACUUGUUCCUGUGCGUGGACCUUUACGUUUUUAGGCAAAUGUGUUCUUCUGAGGCUGCACCACACCUGUAGGUGUUCAGAUGGAGCAGCAUUCUAGUCAUUCUACUAACAGAAGAGCCAAAGAGGAAGGUAAUGCUGUGCCUCUUUGUCGAGCCAAACCCACCCCCAGCUUUAUUAAUCUUCAAGCAAGUUCCCCACCAGCCACUUGCCUGAAAUUCCUGGCAACAAAGCUGUCCUCAAGCCCCUGAUCAACCAGCCAAACCAUUCACCACUACCAUCCAGAACUCCAUGUAUACUCGACCUCAGGCCACUUCUACCAUACAAAAUAAACGACUGACUAGGGGAGAUGUUCUGGCAUACAUCAGAUUAUUGGAUCCCUAAAAAUUUCUUCAAUGUUGCAGUGUUGGAGGACAGAGGGAAUGUGAAGCACCCACCAAACUAAGAAGGCAU